rnacentral:rRNA from 1 species
UACGUAGGGUGCAGGCGUUAAUCGGAAUUACUGGGCGUAAAGCGUACGCAGGCGGUUUGCUAAGACAGGUGUGAAAUCCCCGGGCUUAACCUGGGAACUGCAUUGGUGACUGCAUUGCUGGAGUAUGGCAGAGGGGGGGUGGAAUUCCACGUGUAGCAGUGAAAUGCGUAGAGAUGUGGAGGAACACCGAUGGCGAAGGCAGCCCCCUGGGCCAAUACUGACGCUCAUGCACGAAAGCGUGGGGAGCAAACAGG